GACAGAGGGUGCAAACGUUGUUCGGAAUUACUGGGCGUAAAGCGCGUGUAGGCGGUGCUCUAAGUCUGUCGUGAAAUCUCCCGGCUUAACUGGGAGGGUGCGGCGGAUACUAUUGUGCUAGAGGGUGGGAGAGGAAAGCGGAAUUCCUGGUGUAGCGGUGAAAUGCGUAGAUAUCAGGAGGAACACCUGCGGUGUAGACAGCUUUCUGGACCACUUCUGACGCUGAGACACGAAAGCGUGGGUAGCAAACAGG
rnacentral:rRNA from 1 species